UUGCUUCUCUGAUGUUAGCGGCGGACGGGUGAGUAACACGUGGAUAACCUACCUAUAAGACUGGGAUAACUUCGGGAAACCGGAGCUAAUACCGGAUAAUAUUUUGAACCGCAUGGUUCAAAAGUGAAAGACGGUCUUGCUGUCACUUAUAGAUGGAUCCGCGCUGCAUUAGCUAGUUGGUAAGGUAACGGCUUACCAAGGCAACGAUGCAUAGCCGACCUGAGAGGGUGAUCGGCCACACUGGAACUGAGACACGGUCCAGACUCCUACGGGAGGCAGCAGUAGGGAAUCUUCCGCAAUGGGCGAAAGCCUGACGGAGCAACGCCGCGUGAGUGAUGAAGGUCUUCGGAUCGUAAAACUCUGUUAUUAGGGAAGAACAUAUGUGUAAGUAACUGUGCACAUCUUGACGGUACCUAAUCAGAAAGCCACGGCUAACUACGUGCCAGCAGCCGCGGUAAUACGUAGGUGGCAAGCGUUAUCCGGAAUUAUUGGGCGUAAAGCGCGCGUAGGCGGUUUUUUAAGUCUGAUGUGAAAGCCCACGGCUCAACCGUGGAGGGUCAUUGGAAACUGGAAAACUUGAGUGCAGAAGAGGAAAGUGGAAUUCCAUGUGUAGCGGUGAAAUGCGCAGAGAUAUGGAGGAACACCAGUGGCGAAGGCGACUUUCUGGUCUGUAACUGGCGCUGAUGUGCGAAAGCGUGGGGAUCAAACAGGAUUAGAUACCCUGGUAGUCCACGCCGUAAACGAUGAGUGCUAAGUGUUAGGGGGUCUCCGCCCCUUAG
rnacentral:rRNA from 1 species